CCUACCAUACCCCUGUGUCUACACAUGCCGUCUUACAUAAAUAAUAAUUUGUUUUUCUUAAACAUGAGGAUAUGUAUUCAAUCAUCACUUAUCCAUGUAAAAAUUGUUUCCAAGAUUUUCUCUCUUGCGAUCGUUAUUUUUCCCAUUUCUUUUGAUUUUUCCAGAUAAUCAUCUCUCAUGCUUUUUUUUUUUUCUUCAGAUUCAUCUCUUUUGCAUUUUUGAAGUGCUUCUUCAUCAAUUCUGAGCAGAGCCUCAAGUUCAUCUCUUUCUCUCAGUUUGAUUGAAGAUAAUAAGUCAUGAUCUUGAUACCGGGUGCGAGUUUUAGUUGUAUUUUAUCACCAGCUUUUCACAGAUUUGCUUUGUCUCAACCCCGUUUGAUUAUUGACCGGAAACUUAUUUCACCAUAAAUUCAAUCUUAACCUCUCUUUAUGAGCUGUUAUCAUGGCGUAUUGGGUAAAGUAUCUCUGAUAAAAGAUGGUAAGGUUUGAUGGAUUUCUGGAGUUAUCCUUGAAGAUGAUUCAGCAGAGUUGGCGAUUUAUGAAAGUUGGUCUAACAAAUAGUCGUUCUUUAACUUGACUCAACUUCCUCAGGUUGUAAUUUAUGAUGAAAUAUAGAUGCUCCGUUCAAGAAGUCUGAUGGUGAAAGACAUCCCUAUACAGUAAGUACAAAAUCAAAUUAAAGAAGCUUCACUGUGGUUUCAAAAGCUUUACCGGUGGUGGUGGAGAUGAGAUGAUGACGUCAUGCAACCACCGCUAAUUCAAGAAGUUUCAUGAAUGACCAAUACGUAUUUUCUCUGAUUUGUUUUAAUUUUGUUUAGAUUGUAACAUGUGUAUGGUUUGAGCUUAAUGUUUGUACUUCUGUUUCUUAGCCAAAAAGGUUUAGAAAACUAAAAUCAAGCCUAUUUGAUUUUCAUUAGAAAAUAAUUAUUUUAAUGUCAC
rnacentral:lncRNA from 1 species